GACGAACGCUGGCGGCGUGCUUAACACAUGCAAGUCGAGCGGAAAGGCCUUUUCGGAGGUACUCGAGUGGCGAACGGGUGAGUAACACGUGGGUGAUCUGCCCUGCACUCUGGGAUAAGCCUGGGAAACUGGGUCUAAUACCGGAUAGGACCGCACUUUAGUGUGUGUGGUGGAAAGUUUUUUCGGUGUAGGAUGAGCCCGCGGCCUAUCAGCUUGUUGGUGGGGUAAUGGCCUACCAAGGCGGCGACGGGUAGCCGGACUGAGAGGUUGGUCGGCCACAUUGGGACUGAGAUACGGCCCAGACUCCUACGGGAGGCAGCAGUGGGGAAUAUUGCACAAUGGGCGCAAGCCUGAUGCAGCGACGCCGCGUGGGGGAUGACGGCCUUCGGGUUGUAAACUCCUUUCGCCAGGGACGAAGCGUUUUGUGACGGUACCGGGAGAAGAAGCACCGGCUAACUACGU
rnacentral:rRNA from 1 species